rnacentral:rRNA from 1 species
CCUACGGGAGGCAGCAGUAGGUAAUUUCCACAAUGGGCGCAAGCCUGAUGGAGCGACACCGCGUGAGUGAAGAAGGGUUUCGGCUCGUAAAACUCUGUUGUUGAAGAAGAACGUGCGUGAGAGUAACUGUUCACGCAGUGACGGUAUUCAACCAGAAAGUCACGGCUAACUACGUGCCAGCAGCCGCGGUAAU